rnacentral:tRNA from 1 species
GCCAGUUUGGCUCAGUGGAUAGAGCAUCAGCCUGCAGACUGAAGGGUCCCGGGUUCGAUUCCUGUCAAGGGCA